CAGCCCCUCGAGUGGUGGGGAUGAUUAUUUGGCCUAAAGCGUCCGUAGCCGGCCGAGCAAGUCUUCCGUUAAAUCCAGCGUCUCAAGCGUUGGGCUGCGGGAGAUACUACACGGCUAGAGAGUGGGAGAGGUCAGCGGUAUUCUGGGGGUAGGGGCGAAAUCCUUUGAUCCCCGGAGGACCACCAGUGGCGAAGGCUGCUGACUAGAACACGUCUGACGGUCAGGGACGAAAGCUGGGGUAGCGAACCGGAUUAGAUACCCGAGUAGUCC
rnacentral:rRNA from 1 species